GAAAUGCGAUAAGUAAUGUGAAUUGCAGAAUUCAGUGAAUCAUCGAAUCUUUGAACGCACAUUGCGCCCGCCAGUAUUCUGGCGGGCAUGCCUGUUCGAGCGUCAUUACAACCCUCAGGCCCCCGGGCCUGGCGUUGGGGAUCGGCGGAAGCCCCCUGCGGGCACAACGCCGUCCCCCAAAUACAGUGGCGGUCCCGCCGCAGCUUCCAUUGCGUAGUAGCUAACACCUCGCAACUGGAGAGCGGCGCGGCCAUGCCGUAAACCACCCAACUUCUGAAUGUUGACCUCGAAUCAGGUAGGAAUACCCGCUGAACUUAAGC
rnacentral:misc_RNA from 1 species